rnacentral:tRNA from 1 species
GCUGGAAUAGCUCAAUUGGCAGAGCAGCUGAUUUGUAAUCAGCAGGUUUAGAGUUCAAGUCUCUAUUUCAGCU